GCCAUGAUAGUUCAGUGGUAGAAUUCUUGCCUUCCAUGAGGGAGACCUGGGUUCGAUUCCCAGCCAAUGCA
rnacentral:tRNA from 1 species